ensembl:lncRNA
CACAAUUCAAAGUGACAGUAGCCCGUAUUGUCUGUUAUUGAGACGAGAGUAACACUGGACGCUGAUCGGAAGACGAAAACAACACAAUAAAUAAGGAUGGCGGAACCUGCAAAAGCCUGUACAAGAAAACUCAAACCCCGCUUGUCAAAUAAGGAGCGUUUUCACUGUGUCACUGCAGACAUUAACAUCUCACAGUACCCAGCAUUAAAAGACUGGCUUCCGAGUCAUCAUGAAUAUCACAUCUGUGAUUACAAAGCCAUACGGCAGACACAGGAUCACUUAGAUUUUGCCACCACAAUUAGAAUGUCUCUGUCUACUGUUGAAGAAAUACAGCAAUUUGUUAAAGACUUGCCAAUCACUUGGAGGAUUGACAGAACCAGACCACCUAAGGGGCAAAGAGUUCUUUUUAAGGUGGAUUAUAGAUGCCAUCACAACACAAAACCAAGGAAAAGUGCUGAAGGUUCUGGACGACGGACAAAAAACACAAACUGCCCUGCAAAGAUGGCCGUAACUCUCCAGCGCCCUCAGGCAAGCAGUGGCAGGCAGUGUCGAAGCACCGAUCCUCACAUGCCAACCUUGCCAACAAUAGUGCACAUUACCAAUGAGCACAAUCAUAACAUACAUGUAGGGGAUGCCUUACGAUACAAGGAUGUUGGAGAAGAAGCCAAACAAAAGCUGAAGAAGCUUUUUGAAGCAGGUCAUUCACCAUCAACAGCUCUGGAUGUUUUAAAAUAUGACCUCCAGCUUGAACAUGGAGAUAAGUAUGCAAAUGCAUCGGCUGAUCGAUCCAUCUGUCCUGAUCUUCAGUUCUGCUACAGAUUGUACCACCAAGUUUCUAAACAGGAUUUUGCAACUUGUGAGGGGGCGGGAAUGGCAGAGGCUUUGGAGAGGCAGAUUGACAUGUACAACAACCAGUGCAGUGACCAGUGCACCAAAUUGACCACUGUGUCUGUGAGUCCACCCUCCACCAUUCCUCCCAAUCCAGACCCAAUAGACACCUCCCAACCUGAGGAAGAUGAUUCUACACAGACGUGUGUGAUGGAGCAGGAGGUGACCAAGGCAGCAGAAGGUGCAGAGGCUGCAAACCCUGUGGACAAGUUAAAAUCCAGCUUAGCUGGUUUGUGUGAGCUUGUAGAGAAAGACUCCAGUUUAUGGCCUGCUGCACAUGACUUGAUAAAGGGAAUCGAAAAGGUCCAACACAGCCCAGCGAAGCUAGCAUCAGCCAUGCAUGCAUUUGGCUGCUACAGCUGUAUGACAUUAAUGACGAAAAGGGCUAAACCCUUACGGAGGCGUACACAGACCUCAUCAGUGGCCCGACAGAAGGCCAAACUUGGGAGGCAUCGGCUUGCUGCAGGAAGAGCAGGCAAGACAUCGGGGCCUGAUCAUGAAAACGGUCAGCCAGAAGACAGACAGUGAUGCUCAGGGCUUUGCAUACUGCUUUGCAUAGUAUGUGGCACAAUAUAAAACCAAUGCUAGUUUUCUGUAUGCCUGUUGUAGCCCCAACUCCUCUGCCCAUGGAGAGGUGCGGAUGCUCUUAAUGCCCACCAGCUGCUCCUCAUCCUUUGAUCAUGCCUAGGCUUCAGUGCCACUUUGUAUAAUUGUAAAUUGUUAAUUGUAUAUAGUUGUUUUUAUGAUCCCAUAUUAAGUGACCAGGUGUUAUUGUCUAUAGUUCUUUUUACAGACCUGUUCAGAAUGACCUAUUAUCUGUAGUUAUUUGGCUUGCCAAGGCCAUCAUGCUGGGUUUUUUUUUUUAGUGGCCUAAGCUGAUAGUACAUAAACCCUUUUGUUUUAGGACAUUUCCUUAUUUAUCUGAUUUUCCACUGAAAGGCAGAGACUGUAUACACUGCAAAGCUGUAAAGGUGCAGUAUCCACCCCAUAUGAAAUGAAGUGACCUGAAAACGAUUGGCCUGGUAAUGACAUUGUAGUGCCACAUAUUAUCUCUACAUCGCUUGAACUGUAAAGGCCAUUGCAUACAAAAUUGGAUAUUAGUUUUUUCAUGUAAUUAAUAUGUGAUGUGCAGACAUCCCAGUAGUCUCACAUUGCUAACAUGAUCUCAUAACAAGAGUACACGUCCGCCGGGGAUAACCUGUUAAACUUUGGUCCUGGACUGUGACAAAAUCCACUGCUAAUAAGAGUACAACCCACCACAAAUUCCUCUAGUCUGUCCUCUUUAAACAUCUUGUAUACAGUAAUCAUGUAAACCAAACAAGCAAGCUAAAUCCAUAGCUAAUAGAACUGUUUUUCUCACAAGAGCCUUAAAUUUAGGAUAACUUGCAUUACAUCCAUGAGCCAAAACCAGGCUUUGCUGUCCAUCAGACGAUGUUGAAUGCAUUAUCAACAGGCUUUGAGGUCCUCAAGGGGUUGGAUUGAUUUAAAAAUGCCCCACUCGGUCUGCUCCAGCCUAAUUAAGUACACGUUCCCAACCACAUUUCGCUUAAAAUUUAUCAUGGUUGUCCCCAGAACUUUUCAUUACGAGCUCACAUUUUGCCCCAUGUGACUAGGGCAAAUAAAAAAAUAAACAAAAAAAAGUGGUAUCCUUAGAUAUUGUAGAGACUGAUGGUAGUUCCAGUGAAGGCAAGUUAGCAGUUGUCUUCAGUUGCAAAUGUAGAAAUAGGGAGGAGUCCCAUCUGGUAGACAGAAAUAUGGUCUACACUAGAAAUUGGCAGCAAUAGGUUUUUAUAAAUCCAAUGGCAAUGCCAUUCAGGUUGCCAAGGUGUUCGUAAGGUCUCUGUCUAAUGUUCACCAUUAGUUAACCUUUAUUGUACAGUUCUUUAUGCUGAGAGACAAACACUAUGAGCCCAUCAGUUGACAUUUUUAUCUGUAGAUCAUGUGUUGGCACAGCAGGUGUUGUUUGUUGUUUUGUUUUGUUUUUUUUAAACUGGUGUUUUAAUUGGCCUACAAAAAGGCAAACAGUUUGGUUUGCAGUUUGGUUUGAUGUAACAAAAAUAAGCAGUGUCAGAAUAGCAUUGUACAAGUUUUGUUUAGAAUUUGUGCAGGUUUUUCAGCUGUAAAUUGUGCAAAGGCCUUAAGUCAUAUUUCUCCAAAAAAUGCCUCAAGGAUGAAAAAUGCACUUCUGCGUUUGGGGAAAUUUGCAUAAUAUUUUAAACAUUGCAAACUAGCCCUAUGAUUUAUUUAUUUUUUUGUCCCAAUCCUCCUGAAAGCCUGAAUUUCAAUAAUUUUAAAGUUAAUAUAUUGUAAUUUAGAAAGAAGAUGGCCUUCAUGUUACCAACCAAUCCAGAGCAGACGAGACUUCAUGCCAUGUUAUGGAAGGACAUUUUUUAAAAAUUUUCAAAUGGACUUGAAGGUGAUUUUAGGUAAACUGACAACUUUGAUCUGUGUUUGUCAAAAGAGGGCAUUAACAUUCUACUAACCAUUUCUUUGACACCUAAAUGCUUCGUGGAUGCUCACCCAAUCAAAAUAUUUGCAUACUGCAAAUUUGUGCUAGCUGGCAUGAGGGUUUUUAAGGCUUACUUAGGUGUUGGCUAGUCAGCCUGGCAUGUUUGAUUGCACUAACAUUGGCCAGCAAAACUGAACUCUCUGCCAGAGCCGAUUAAUGAGGAACCUGCCCACUUCCAAACAUGUUCUCAAUGAACGGGACAGAAUUUAGCAAAUUGGAAUAUUAGAUAAAAAUUUCCGUCUAGAAAUGUUAAAUGUUUUUCAGAUUUGUCAUGUAGGAGCGUCCUUUAAUUUUAGGGAAUGAUGAGUUUGUUAAAAAAAAGGAGAACUUCAUAUCUUACGGCAGAUUUUGGGUAGUAGGACACCAGCAAUGAUCUAUUCUUAUUUAUUCUGUUUAUUAAAAGGAAGGCAUAAAAAGGAACAUUUUACAAAUUACUCUUUUGCACAAAAGCUCUUUAGGUCCCCAUUCAUUCUUGCUAUCAUCUGAUCGCCCCAGAAGACAAUGCUAAGUGGGAAUUCUUGUUAAAAUAGAAAUUCUAACUGCUUUUAUUUGUUGUCUUUUCCUUUAGCUUUUUUAAAUGAACUUUGAAAUGAACCCCAGACUGACAAUUUAGAAAAGUGUUCAUUUUCUAUGACAAAUGGAGAAGUUUUCAAAAAGCAAGUGUGCUAGUCGUCUGUAACUUGUAGUAAUACACCGAUGAGGAAAUCUUGGGCCACAGUUAUCAUAUACAUAUCUGCUGUUGGUGAUACAUAAAAACAUUUUAAAAAAUACAAAAAGUAGGACUGAAUUUGCAUUAUAGAAAUGUAAUAUUUAUUUGUAUAGAUUUAGAAAUGUAGUAAAAUAAAUGCAGACGUUUAGCACAGCAGCCCAGCAUUGCUUAUGUUCCAAUAGAACACAGUGUAAAUUAUGAAAAGUUUUGUAUGACCCUAAAAUUGAGUGUUAAACAUCCAGUAAAAUCUGAAUUAAAAAAAAAAACAUGGCUUUUUUUUUUUUUCCUGAGAACUGUCUGGGCAUGGCCCUAUUGCUCUGAUGUCC